rnacentral:rRNA from 1 species
GACGAACGCUGGCGGCGUGCCUAAUACAUGCAAGUCGAGCGGGCCUCCGGAGGCGCUUGCACCUCCGGAAGGCCAGCGGCGGACGGGUGGGUAACACGUGGGCAACCUGCCUUUGAGGCCGGGAUAACACCGGGAAACCGGUGCUAAUACCGGAUACGUCCUCUUUCGCGCCUGCGAGAGGGGAGAAAGACGGUCUUUAAGGCCGUCGCUCAAAGAGGGGCCCGCGGCGCAUCAGCUGGUUGGUGGGGUAAGGGCCUACCAAGGCGACGAUGCGUUGCCGAACUGAGAGGGUGAUCGGCCACACUGGGACUGAGACACGGCCCAGACUCCUGCGGGAGGCAGCAGUAGGGAAUCAUCCGCAAUGGGCGAAAGCCUGACGGUGCAACGCCGCGUGAGUGAGGAAGGUUUUCGGAUCGUAAAGCUCUGUUGUGAGGGAAGAACAGCUUCCGGAGGAAAUGCCGGAGGUUUGCCGGUACCUCACCAGAAAGCCCCGGCUAACUACGUGCCAGCAGCCGCGGUAA